GCCUGCUCCCGGCCGGGAUGUUGGCAGGCCCGGCCCCUCUCUGACGCAGGCGCUCUGAGGCGAUGCGGCAGGCCACGCCCACUCCCUUGCGGGUGGGGAGAGGAUGGGUGUGGCAAGCCGCGCGUGCGCAGAUGGAUGACACCAAGAAACAAAACGGACGGCUUGUCAACUCAGUCUGCCUCAGCUUCAGCGGGAUGGAUCCGGACCCUCUAUUGUGAUGUUGGAAUCUCACAGGAGGAACUCAGAUCAGACAUGAUACUCAGUCUCAUUUCACCACUGCACUGAUGCAGAGGAGAUGGAAGAAGUACAGAGGACAGCAGACAGCAUCUGCAUGCAAACACUAGGAGAACUGGUCAGAUGACAUGGACUCCAGUGCCAGCAAUAUGCAGGUGACACAUCUCUACCUAUCCUACACAGAGCCGGCCUUCAAUACGGGCCAACGGGGCAAAAGCCCGGGGCGCCAUUAUAAGCAGGGCGCCUCCGGAGCAGGAGUGCCCAUCCCUCCGCUGCUGCUCCUGGCCCCUGCAUUGGAGCCGCCCCUGGCCAGCUGCUCCCCGGAGGAUUCCUGUCAGCUGGGCAGAGCGGGGGGAGGGGGCACUGGUGUCAGGGUGUCCCCCUCCCCCCGCCCAUGUACCCAAUCUCCGCAGAGUGGGAGAAGAGCAGGGACAGGGCUCAGGAGUGAGAUGGAGCUGUUGGGGGCUGCUGCUGUCUGAACAAGCCUUCAGACUGGUGAGUGUCACUCUGCUUAAAGGGACAGCACUCUGUCUCACACACAUUCUCUCUCUCUCUCUCUCUCUCGCGCGCGCGCACACACACGUCUCUUUUGCACUCAACCCUCAAAACAUACUUGUGGUGGUGGUGGUGUUACUUCUUGGUACUUCCUGCAGUGCACAUAUAUUCUCUGUAAUUUUAUUCUUUCAAGUGCAGUUAUUUCAGUGUUUUGACUGGUCUAUGCAUUUCAUAAUUUUGUUUCUUUCUUAUGCUUACAUUUAAUUCCUUGAGUAGUGAGUUCUAAAAUGCUUAACCUGUUCUGGCUGGAGUAAUUAUCAUUAUUAGUUUUAUUACCGUGUUGUGCUUUGUCAUUCAUUAUUUAAAGUGGUACAAUCAAAUAAUAGUAUCCUUCUAGAAUGUAACUUUAGCUUGUACUAACCUUAGCAGUGGCAGUUUUAAAACCAUUAGCUAAACACAUAACUUUAGACACUGGGCCGAUGAAGGUUGCUUAUUUUUAAAUUGUAUUUUUAGUUAUAUCUGUAAAAUAACUUAAAAUGUUCAUGAAAAUAAACGAAGUUCCAACUAGGAUACCAAUAGCAAUGAUGGAGUCAAAUGUUAGUGAGUCAUGUACAUGCUUGUGAUUGGUAAACAUAAAUGCCAAAGAAAUUAGAAAAAUUAAUUCCCUUCCUUAAUAAAAGAGAAAAAAAACCCUUAAUCACGUAUGUUAAAAUUAAGUAUGUUUUUAGUGGAGUGAAAAACAAUUGACUAAAAUAGCAGUGUAACAGAGUGUGUCUGCUAGAGAAAGUUAGCAGAUUUUAUUUAUUUUUAUUUAUCGCUACUAAAGAUAGAGUACAAAGUAUCAAGUGUGUGUUUCUGAUAUUUGUGUUAAAGCUCCAGAAUUGAUACCUCAAGGCUUGGGAUUGGGAAUAUCUUGCUGUAUUAUCUUCUGAUUGUU